GUGAGGAAUAUUGCGCAAUGGAGGCAACUCUGACGCAGCCAUGCUGCGUGCAGGAAGAAGGCGCUACGCGUUGUAAACUGCUUUUAACCGGGAAGAAACCCCAGGACGUGUCCUGGGUUGACGGUACCGGAGGAAUAAGCACCGGCUAACUUCGUGCCAGCAGCCGCGGUAAUACGAAGGGUGCAAGCGUUAUCCGGAUUCAUUGGGUUUAAAGGGUGCGUAGGCGGAGCGUUAAGUCAGUGGUGAAAUCCUGCAGCUUAACUGUAGACUUGCCAUUGAUACUGGCGCUCUUGAGUGCGCUUGAAGUGGGCGGAAUGUGCCGUGUAGCGGUGAAAUGCUUAGAUAUGGCACAGAACACCAAUUGCGAAGGCAGCUCACUAAGGCGAUACUGACGCUGAGGCACGAAAGCGUGGGGAUCGAACAGGAUUAGAAACCCUGGUAGUCC
rnacentral:rRNA from 1 species